UAGGGAAUCUUCGGCAAUGGACGAAAGUCUGACCGAGCAACGCCGCGUGAGUGAAGAAGGUUUUCGGAUCGUAAAACUCUGUUGUUAGAGAAGAACAAGGACGUUAGUAACUGAACGUCCCCUGACGGUAUCUAACCAGAAAGCCACGGCUAACUACGUGCCAGCAGCCGCGGUAAUACGUAGGUGGCAAGCGUUGUCCGGAUUUAUUGGGCGUAAAGCGAGCGCAGGCGGUUUCUUAAGUCUGAUGUGAAAGCCCCCGGCUCAACCGGGGAGGGUCAUUGGAAACUGGGAGACUUGAGUGCAGAAGAGGAGGGUGGAAUUCCAUGUGUAGCGGUGAGAUGCGUAGAUAUAUGGAGGAACACAAGUGGCGAAGGCGGCUCGCUGGUCUGAAACUGACGCUGAGGAUCGAAAGCGUGGGGAGCAAACAGG
rnacentral:rRNA from 1 species